UACGUAGGGUGCAAGCGUUGCCCGGAUUUAUUGGGCGUAAAGCGCGUGUAGGCGGCCCGGCACGUCCGUCGCUGAAAUCCCCCGGCCCAACCGGGGAACGGGCGCGGAUACGGCCGGGCUGGAGGGGGGUAGGGGGCGCCGGAACUCACGGUGGAGCGGUGAAAUGCGUUGAGAUCGUGAGGAACGCCCGUGGCGAAAGCGGGCGCCUGGGCCCCGCCUGACGCUGAGACGCGAAAGCCAGGGGAGCGAACGGG
rnacentral:rRNA from 1 species